UGAGCAAUCUGCCCUUCUCAUCGGAAUAAGCGUUGGAAACGACGUCUAAUGCCGAAUACGACCUCCUUUCGCAUGAUCGGAGGUGGAAAGCUCCGGCGGAGAAGGAUGAGCUCGCGGCCUAUCAGCUAGUUGGUGUGGGUAAUGGCCCACAAGGCGACGACGGGUAGCUGGUCUGAGGAGGGUGACCCGGCCACACGUGGGACUGAGACUACGGCCCAGACUCCGUAGGAG
rnacentral:rRNA from 1 species